rnacentral:lncRNA from 1 species
GACAGUACUGUGCCAUAUAAUGUUUUAAGCUUUCUGAGGUAAACAUUGCACUUUCAUCUUGCCAAGCAGGGAACUGAGGCUCCCAGCUGCAAUUGUCACCAGCUCUUGUGGCUUCCUGUUCUUUGGCACUUGCCAAGGCCCUCUUUUAGUAGUAGUUACUCUGAUUGAGAGUUGGUUGACGUACCUUAGUGGUUGUGCACAUGCUUAACAUCUUUGAAGCCCUAAGUUCGAUUUGCAGCACCGUAAAGAAAAAUAGAGAGGUCUGGCAAGGGACACAAGACAGUAUAUGCAGAGAGGUCCUUUGCUAACUCAGAGCAAGCCUGGGCUGCUUAGGCUAUCACACAGAAGCAUUCAGCACAAGAGGCUCAUCAAUAUCAGCCAUAAGAGGACAGAUGAAAAGGUAGGUAGGACCACACUGGGCUUUUAGUGCCCUGCCUUAGGAGUUUGGAGUUGGCCAGGAUAUAAUAGAGAACUAUUAUGGUUGUCCAAAGCAGGCAGCAGCAGGAGGCUCUGAUUUGUGGGUUCCCUCCAGCACUCAGCACAAAGGACAGGUAGAAGUAAUAUGCCUCACCGCGGCAUUUGUACAAGUGGCAAAGCUGGACUAAUUCUAGCUCCUCUGGCUCAGUCCCAGUCCCUGCCCAAACCCAGUGCCCAUCUCCCCAUCCCUAGGGCCAUCGGCUUCCCCUGUGGUAUCCUCUUCUUCGUCCUCACCAAGCAGGAAGUGGACAAGGACCGCUUGAAGCAGAUGAAGGCUCGUCAGAACAUGCGGGUGUCCAACACGGGCGAGUAUGAGAGCCAGAGGUUCAGGGCUUCGCCCCAACAAGCCCAGUUCCCUGAAGUUGGGUCUGGAGUACAGACCUGAGUAAGGAUCAUUGCAACCUUGUGCUAGACUUUAUUGACUGAUGUGUAGCCAACUGUGUUCAUUGCUCCUGAGGCCCACCAGAGGGCGCAUGAUGCCCAAACCGCUGCCAGCACCCACCUCUUCUUCCACAUGGUAGAAGGAGUCAAAUGCAAAUAAAGUUAUUAAGUCCUGGC